rnacentral:lncRNA from 1 species
AUUAAAUAUCACCUCCUCUUAGUGCAAGGUACUCCAUCUCAUAAAUGCACCUACGAAUUCUGAAGAGGGAAACUGUCUAAUGAACAGUUUGAUGAACCACAAGGCUAAACUUGCUGCUUUGGAGAUUUGAGAUGUGCUUGAGCAUAAUAAAUCCACAUUGGAACUGUUAGGCUUGACUAAGCCAAGUGCCUGUCCUAGGCUGUCUUAAAAGAUCACUUGGUUAUGCUGGAGAAGACAAAAAUUAAACUGGACUGAAACCAUCACCACUAGUGGCUUUUAUUUUAAGGAAAAAAGAUUAGAAACUAAGCCUUGACCUCCAAUGCCAAUUUCAAACAUCCUGCUGGUUUUGAUGGAGCUAGAAUGUCACACCUGCUCAGUCUGGAAUUGCCUUGAAGUCACUCUCAACUUGCAGAUUAGUACAGUGACAAAAGAACAUACAUUUUCUCAGCAAGUCACUUUUGCUGGCAGCCCUCUAGCCCAGUCCAGUCCAGAAGCUAUCUGUAUUUAUCACCAUCUCAGGAAGAGUUGUACUGCUUCCAAAGGAGCUCUUUGCUUUUGUGCAGAAGUGCUGUCACUCCCUCAAUAUCACUUGCUUUUCUAGGAAUUCCUGUGUGAAAUUGCCCUCUGAGACAAGUGAGAAAUGAGGCCAUGUCUCAUUUAUACCUUUGAAGAGGAUGGUUCCUUACUGCCAUGAUACAAUACCUAGUUUUUAAAAGUCUUUCAGUUACUUACAUUUUCAUGCUCAAAAUUGCUGUGGUAGAGGUGAAGAAUCUUGGAAUAAUGACUAUGACACAACUUUUAAAAAUCCCUCAAGUAGUUAAUUACAUUCCUGGAGAGCUGGAGUAAUAACAGGAAUAUCCGAGUUGCAAUAAAAAUGUAAGAAGAUUUUUAGAAGGUCA